GACCCACUGAAGGAUGGCCAAAGGUGGAGUUCAGGGAUCCAGGCUUCUGACCUUUCAUUGAUACCAGCAGUCCUUACCAUCUCCUUCUGAGUCUUAUACUUCUCUCUCAUUUUGCUAAUGUUUCAACAGAUCAACCUAAAAAAGGUUUUACUCCAGACAUCAAGCCUUAAGGGUCCAAGUGAGCUUCACUUCGAUUCAUCAUGCGAGUGCCCACUGUCAGUCCUGGACAGGGGGUCACAAAUUAGGAAAGCAGCAAGUCAAAUGAGUUGGCUGAAAAACAAUGGGAGUGGGGAAUGGGCUGUAGUGAUUUAAAUGAGGAAUGCGAGGGUCCUGUUCUAGAGUCCCUCCCACUCCCUAGGGUCUCUUCCCCCAUCAGUCCCUUAAUAUAAUUCUUUUCUUGAAGGCUAAGAUCCUCAGGCAGUUACUCUUCUUCCGUGAUGUACAACCUCUGGGGAGUGUCGUACGUGGAUUCCCUCCAGGACCACACUGCAGCCAGAACUCUGCAGACCCACAGAUCCAACUGUCUCCUGCACAUCACCAUGUAGUACUCCCAGAGGCAAAAUCGCCACCUACCCAGGUUUCCCACUCAUCUCCACUAUCCAUGAGGCUACCAGAGCCUGACAGUUCCCCUGUGCACGCCUGUGUCCUCUCCUGAUGGCCACAUCAACUUCCUCUGGGCUCUUCUCCUACCAGUUGGCCUCCUUCCACUCUGUCCUCUCUACUGCAUCCGAAGCCGUGCUCACCAUACUUCUACUUAAAAUCCAUCCACUCUCCAGAGCUCUUAGGGUCCAGUUCAAGUCCAGUUUACACACAAUGCCCUUAUGAUCUGGCUCUCGCCCUCGCUGGUUUUAUCGCCUGCUCCUCCUUCACACGAAUGCUUCCCUCAACCUACUCAGAGGCUUUAUGGUGUUCAAUAUGCAUGCUGUGUCAUGCCUCAUGGCCUUGCCAUAUGCUGAGACUUUUCUCUGGAAUGUCUUCUCAUAAUACCAUUCUUAAUUCUUGUGAACCUUGCCCCACCUAGUCCUUCCUUAGUGACACGUAAUUCCAGCACUUAUCACACUGUAUCCCAUUCAUUGUGUACUUACUGCCUACUAGACCCCAAGCCAUUUGAGGGUAGAGACCAUUUCUAAGUGCACUUUCCACCCAUGGCACCUCCCAGAGCACUGCAUGUAGUAGACACAAAAUAAAUGCAUAUUCCAACAAAUGUACGGGUAGCCAGAACAUAGCAGAAUGGAGGAUUACAGAAUUAGGAGGUUAGGCUUCUAUUACAGCAUAAAUUUACAAACCAUGGUCAUGUCCCCAUACCUCCCCCAGGUAUUCUGAGGGUCCACCAACACCAACUUCAGUCAACACAUGACUUUUUAAUAAAGUUGAAGACCAUU